rnacentral:rRNA from 1 species
UACGAAGGGGGCUAGCGCUGCUCGGAAUCACUGGGCGUAAAGGGUGCGUAGGCGGGUCUUUUAAGUCAGGGGUGAAAUCCUGGAGCUCAACUCCAGAACUGCCUUUGAUACUGAAGAUCUUGAGUUCGGGAGAGGUGAGUGGAACUGCGAGUGUAGAGGUGAAAUUCGUAGAUAUUCGGAAGAACACCAGUGGCGAAGGCGGCUCACUGGCCCGGUACUGACGCUGAGGUGCGAAAGCGUGGGGAGCAAACAGG